UCUCCUCUUGCUAAUACAAUGAGGUGCUCGUCCGGCAACACGCCGACGCCGCCGGCCCGGCGGAGAUGUCGCUGGCCUUCUAGGACAUGCUCUGGGCGCACUUUCACCAACCGCUCGGUACGCACUGGAUGUGAACGUGGAGGGGGCAGAGGAUGUGGUGACGCACCGGCCGCUGCUUGAGGUCGAGAAAGGAGAAAAUAGGUAUGUCUUGAAGAAGAUCCGAUUAGCCCACUAUCGAUCAGCACACCAAUAGGACUCCUGAACAAACCUCUGUUUCCUCUGUGUCAUGUGACAUACCAGUAUUCAAGCUAGAUUGUUUGCUAAAAGAUGGUUCCACCUUCCGAUGAGCAUGCAAAAUUCACAACUUUGUUCUUACAGAUGAAGCUCAUUGCAAACGUAAGGUGCCCUUACAUUGUGGAAUACAAAUACUGUUGGGUGGAUAAGGGGUGCUAUGUCUGCUUUGUGAUCGGCUACUGCAGGGGAGCAGACAUCUAUGUAACUUGUGAAGUAAGCUCUCAAUUGUAUUUGAACCUGUAACGAAAUUGUGGUUAUUUUUGUUUCAUUGUACAGGUUAGAGGCUUAAAAGGUCUAACGCCAAUCACCUCUUGGAAGAGUGGUUAAUUAGUCUGUAAUAUGGGAUGUUCAGUACCUGCAAUUUUUGAUUAUUCAAAUUUUUGACUCUUGUGUCCAUUUUCUGCCAGCAGAAACUCUGAGUAUGCCUCGUGCAGGUCCUAAUAGCACUUGACUACUUCCAUGCUAAUCAUGUCCUUCAUCACUAUGUGAAGAUUGAUAUGCCCACAAUCUUUAUUUCUGUCCUACUGAAAAAGCAGUUUCGCAGCCGCGUAUUCACUAUGUAUUGUAUUAUAUUGUAUUGGUUUUCAGUGUUUAAAUAUAUUUCUUACAAAGCACAAAAAUAUACGGCUCCUAAAGUAUGAUCUGUAAUAUUGAUGAGAAAAAAAAUACUUGGACUAUGAAGUACUUAAAAUUGCUGAUGAAAAUAUUUUCUGUGCAGAAUUUGUUGUCUGAAACAGAUGAUUUUGGGCUUGUUAAAUUUUGGCUUUAAGUUGUUCUUGCUCUACUCUUACGUGUUUCUUGUUCUAAGUUUCUUAUGAUUUUGAUAACACUGUAUUUCUUUCUGAAGCUUGUAGGAAAUCCCAUUUACAUGUUGACCUGAACUUCUUGCGAAUAUUUCAUAUGGUUCCAAGUCCAAAAUAUGGUCGCUAGUUUCAUCACGAAUCAUCGCUGGUGCCGUGACGUUGAAGUUAUCAGUAGGUAAUUGUUGAGGCUAACAAGCCUGAACUGAAUGUCUGCGAUCAAACUACUCUAAGUAUAAUUUUCAGAAGCAAUCUCAUAAGUAAGAAGAACUGAAUGUAGAGUUUGUGGUGCGCAGUAAA